CGAUGUUACAUGAGGCCCAGUCGCGUCA
rnacentral:sRNA from 1 species